CCUACGGGAGGCAGCAGUAAGGAAUAUUGGUCAAUGGAGGCAACUCUGAACCAGCCAUGCCGCGUGCAGGAAGACGGCCCUAUGGGUUGUAAACUGCUUUUGAACUAGAGAAAACCUUGGUACGUGUACCGAGUUGAUAGUAUAGUUAGAAUAAGCAUCGGCUAACUUCGUGCCAGCAGCCGCGGUAAGACGAAGGAUGCAAGCGUUAUCCGGAUUCAUUGGGUUUAAAGGGUGCGUAGGCGGACUGAUAAGUCAGUGGUGAAAUCUCUCAGCUUAACUGAGAAACUGCCAUUGAUACUGUUAGUCUAGAGUACAGAUGAUGUGGGCGGAAUAUGACAUGUAGUGGUGAAAUACUUAGAUAUGUCAUAGAACACCGAUUGCGAAGGCAGCUCACAAAACUGUAACUGACGCUGAGGCACGAAAGUGCGGGGAUCAAACAGGAUUAGAUACCCUGGUAGUCCGCACCGUAAACGAUANAUACUCGUGUGUGAUAUGANAGUNAGCGACAGACGAAGAGAGAAGUAAUACACCGNGGAGGACGCCGCGACGAGAACGUAAAGUAAGUAGAGGACGNGAGAGNGCGACGGACGACGACGAGGGGAGGAGG
rnacentral:rRNA from 1 species